GCUUGCGAGGGCGAUUUGGCUGCGACAUCUGUCACCCCACUGAUCGCCAGGGUUGAUUCGGCUGAUCUGGCUGGCUAGGCGGGUGUCCCCUUCCUCCCUCACCGCUCCAUGUGCGUCCCUCCCGAAGCUGCGCGCUCGGUGGAAGAGGACGACCUUCCCCGAUAGAGGAGAGGACCGUUCUUUGGUCAAGGGUAUACAAGUAGCUGCGCUCCCCUGCUAGAACCUCCAAACAAGCUCUCAGGACAAAAUUAAAUGUAAUAGAAAAACUUAAAAAUAAAAAAGAGGCUUUUU
ensembl:misc_RNA 7SK 7SK RNA